rnacentral:rRNA from 1 species
AACGAACGCUGGCGGCAUGCCUAACACAUGCAAGUCGAACGAGACCUUCGGGUCUAGUGGCGCACGGGUGCGUAACGCGUGGGAACCUGCCCUUAGGUUCGGAAUAACUCCCCGAAAGGGGUGCUAAUACCGGAUAAUGUCUUCGGACCAAAGAUUUAUCGCCUUUGGAUGGGCCCGCGUUGGAUUAGCUAGUUGGUAGGGGAAAAGCCUACCAAGGCGACGAUCCAUAGCUGGUCUGAGAGGAUGAUCAGCCACACUGGGACUGAGACACGGCCCAGACUCCUACGGGAGGCAGCAGUGGGGAAUAUUGGAAAAUGGGCGAAAGCCUGAUCCAGCAAUGCCGCGUGAGUGAUGAAGGCCUUAGGGUUGUAAAGCUCUUUUACCCGGGAUGAUAAUGACAGUACCGGGAGAAUAAGCUCCGGCUAACUCCGUG